rnacentral:rRNA from 1 species
AUUGAACGCUGGCGGCAGGCCUAACACAUGCAAGUCGAGCGGAUGAAGGGAGCUUGCUCCUGGAUUCAGCGGCGGACGGGUGAGUAAUGCCUAGGAAUCUGCCUGGUAGUGGGGGAUAACGUCCGGAAACGGGCGCUAAUACCGCAUACGUCCUGAGGGAGAAAGUGGGGGAUCCUCGGACCUCACGCUAUCAAAUGAGCCUAGGUCGGAUUAGCUAGUUGGUGGGGUAAAGGCCUACCAAGGCGACGAUCCGUAACUGGUCUGAGAGGAUGAUCAGUCACACUGGAACUGAGACACGGUCCAGACUCCUACGGGAGGCAGCAGUGGGGAAUAUUGGACAAUGGGCGAAAGCCUGAUCCAGCCAUGCCGCGUGUGUGAAGAAGGUCUUCGGAUUGUAAAGCACUUUAAGUUGGGAGGAAGGGCAGUAAGUUAAUACCUUGCUGUUUUGACGUUACCAACAGAAUAAGCACCGGCUAACUUCGUG